GAGGAGUAAAAUGGGCAGGAGCCUAACAUAACUGUCCUUUGAGAGACGUCAUCCAACGGUUGAUAGAAACAGAUGCAGAGACCACAGCCAAACAGUAAGUGGAGCUCUGAAAGCCUUUUGGAAGAGUGCUGGGAUGGAAUUCUGGAGCCGGAUGUGUCAAGGACACCACCACACGAAGAACUACAGAGUAAACUAACCUGGCCCCACAGGGGCACACGGUGAGAAAACCACC
rnacentral:lncRNA from 1 species